GAUGAAGAACGCAGCGAAAUGCGAUAACUAAUGUGAAUUGCAGAAUUCAGUGAAUCAUCGAGUCCUUGAACGCACAUUGCGCCCCCUGGUAUUCCGGGGGGCAUGCCUGUCCGAGCGUCAUUGCUGCCCUCAAGCACGGCUUGUGUGUUGGGCUCCGUCCCCCCGGGGACGGGCCCGAAAGGCAGCGGCGGCACCGAGUCCGGUCCUCGAGCGUAUGGGGCUUUGUCACCCGCUCUGUAGGCCCGGCCGGCGCCAGCCGACAACCCAUCAUCCUUUUCAGGUUGACCUCGGAUCAGGUAGGGAUACCCGCUGAACUUAAGCAUAUCAAUAAGCGGAGGA
rnacentral:misc_RNA from 1 species